rnacentral:rRNA from 1 species
UACGUAGGGUGCGAGCGUUGUCCGGAAUUAUUGGGCGUAAAGAGCUCGUAGGCGGUGUGUCGCGUCGGCCGUGAAAACCUGGGGCUCAACUCUGGGCGUGCGGUCGAUACGGGCAUCACUUGAGUUCGGCAGGGGAGACUGGAAUUCCUGGUGUAGCGGUGAAAUGCGCAGAUAUCAGGAGGAACACCGGUGGCGAAGGCGGGUCUCUGGGCCGAUACUGACGCUGAGGAGCGAAAGCGUGGGGAGCGAUCCGG